GGGGGCUGCAGGUAUGGGAGAAGGCCCUGAUCUCCUGUGAGACUGGGAAUGUGCCUGUCAUCCCUUUUAGGGUUCCCCGAGGAUUUGACCUGUCUCAACCAGGAAUCAAGGAUACUGGAAUGAGAAAGAAUACAGCCACCCAUGGAGAUCAGAAAGAUAGACACCUUUGGGAUCACCUGCCACACUUUGCAUCUCUGCUUGGAAGACUAUGCUAUUUUAAGGUAUGCUACUAUUCUCUGCAAACUCAUAGGACCUCAUAGCCCUGUCACUCAGACACAGACCUGUGGAUCACUCGGGUAAGUAAAUUAUUGAUUUUAUGAAAUUUUUCCGUAAUCUGAA